CUGGCAACCCGUGCUAGCUGUACGACGCAUGCGCAGUGCAGAGUGCGCACUAGCCCUUGACCACGAGCAGCGGAGGGAGAGCAGCAGCGUCAAGAGGAAGAAAACUAGCAACUUCUACGUUUACUAAAACUGAGCAAAAAUGGACGACUGGCAUGAAGAGGGACCUUCCACUAGCACUGCUGUACAGUCCAGCCACACUUCAAGUGAAGGCACACAAGGAAGCUCCUGGAACUCAGGUGGAGGUUUCGGAGGACGAGGCCGCGGCAGAGGGGGAGGAUUUAAAAGCUUCUCCUCAGGUG